rnacentral:rRNA from 1 species
GACGAACGCUGGCGGCGUGCUUAACACAUGCAAGUCGAACGGUAAGGCCCUGCUUUUGUGGGGUGCUCGAGUGGCGAACGGGUGAGUAUCACGUGUGUAACCUGCCCUUGACUUUGGGAUAACUUCAGGAAACUGGGGCUAAUACCGGAUAGGAGCUCCUGCUGCAUGGUGGGGGUUGGUAAGUUUCGGCGGUUGGGGAUGGACACGCGGCCUAUCAGCUUGUUGGUGAGGUAGUGGCUUACCAACGCAUUGACGGGUAGCCGGCCUGAGAGGGUGACCGGCCACAUUGUGACUGAGAUACGACCCAGACUCCUACGGGAGGCAGCGGUGGGAGUUAUUGCACGAUGGGCGGAAGCCUGAUGCAGCAACGCCGCGUGCGGGAUGACGGCCUUCGGGUUGUAAACCGCUUUCGCCUGUGACGAAGCGUGAGUGACGGUAAUGGGUAAAGAAGCACCGGCUAACUACGUG